CUGAACCAGCCAAGUAGCGUGAAGGAUGACUGCCCUAUGGGUUGUAGACUUCUUUUAUAAAGGAAUAAAGUCGGGCAUGCAUACCCGUUUGCAUGUACUUUACGAAUAAGGAUCGGCUAACUCCGUGCCAGCAGCCGGGGUAAUACGGAGGAUCCGAGCGUUAUCCGGAUUUAUUGGGUUUAAAGGGAGCGUAGAUGGAUGUUUAAGUCAGUUGUGAAAGUUUGCGG
rnacentral:rRNA from 1 species